UGUCUACAGAAGACACAGUGAGAAAGGCAUCCUCUGGUGAGCAGUUCUGGCGAGACAGGUAGGCAUCUCACUGGGGAUGGCUCAAGCAGUGGGAUCCUCACCUGCUGCUUCCAUCCUGCUUUUUCUGCCAUUUACUCCUUUGAAAUUUACUCUCAAAGGUAGAAAGGUAAAUUUCUGCUAUUUACUUUGAAAUUAAAGGUUAUUUUGGGGGAAAAAAUCCAGAAAUUUAAAAUAUUGGUGGCAAAAACUGUCCUGCACAUUCAAUUCUCCAUGUAAGAAUAGUUAAUGCUAUUUAAAAUGCCUGAACACACACCUAAAAUAGGUAAAGGUCCACAUAAGAAAGGUAUUUCCAUAGGAUUAAAGUUCUGGAAGUUGUCAAGGUGGAUCAUAGUUUCGUCAUAGUCAUGAUGUUUAAACAAUACAUAUGAUGAGGCCACUCACUACUCAUACAGGCUCCUGACCAAUCAGCAUGAACGUGAGCUCUAAAUGCCAAAUAGAACUACAUGAUGCAAACCAGUGCACCAUUAAUUGUUUAUGUCGCAUUGCUGGAGUAGCGGUUCUCAGCUAGCUCAUCUGCCUCCCAGGAAGCAAAACAGACAUUACAGGGCCUACCAGACAAAUGCAGAACAUGAUGCGUUAAUGUUUCCAUAUCUCCCAGUACAUGAUUCUGGAAUAGCACGACCUGAAAGUCUAAAUGGACAUCCUUCAAUCCAUGCAGGAUCACAGGUAAUUCCAUCUACACCCAAAUGUAUAGGUUAUUAUGUGCCCACUAUUGCUUUGCUUCCACGCUGACUUGAGACAGAUUUUUCCACAAAUUGGACCCGACCAGCUGAUAGACUAGAAAUUCUUCCUGUACUGACUCCUGCUGACAGGUGUAAAAUAAUCAAACAUCAACUGAGGCUGGGAGCACAUGGGAGGUCACCCAAAGGUUCAUUGAAGUAUAUUUGAAUUGAUUAAUUAAUGAGGCAAGCUUAAUAUUAUCUGCCCUAUCAAUUAAAUGUUCAUUCCUUCUUUCUUAGACUGUGUUAUGGAACUGAAAAUCUGAAACCUUAAAACCAGAUGGGUGGUCUGGAGACAGGACCAGCUGUGCAGAGAAAAUGACAGGACAAAAAGAAACAAAGUCCAACAUAAGAUAAGCUUGGGAUGGCAAAAGUUACAAAAUUAGGUCAAUAAAAUGUCAGCAUUAUAGUACA
rnacentral:lncRNA from 1 species